rnacentral:misc_RNA from 1 species
UUUCAAGCGCACAGUAUUUCUCCGCGAAGGGGAUCGUCAUUUAACAGUGUAAUGCAACUGGUGGUCUGUCAUUUCUCUAUCGCUUCCACAAUUGUGUACAAACAGAGUGCCGGCAACUUUGGGAGAUAAUUAUCACUGGCGAGGAUGGACAGCAAUAAAUCCACCAAGUCCACAGUUUACAUUUCAAAUCUUCCCUUUUCCCUGACUAACAACGAUUUGUACAAAAUCUUCGAGAAACAUGGGAAAAUCGUCAAAGUGACUAUAAUGAGGAACAGGGAAACUCGUAAAUCGCGUGGAGUGGCCUUUGUGAAUUACGUGAGAGUUGAAGAUGCUGAAGCGUGUGUUCAGGCUACGGAUAAUGUUGAGAUGUUCGGGCGGACGCUUAAGGCCGGUAUAGCGAUAGACAAUGGAAAAGGGCAGCCCGCAGGCAAGAAACGAAAGUUUACUGAUGUUGUUCGAUGUUUCGAAUGCGGAGCUGAGGGGCAUGUUAGCUACAAAUGCCCGGAAAAUAUCUUGGGAGACCGACCACGUCCGAAGAAAGAGAAGAAAAAAACAAACUGAAAGAUAUUGUACAACAAAAGUUCGAUUUUGGAACGCAAACCUUAUUGGGGUCAACGGAAUUUGUUGACUUUUACCUGGUAUAUCCGGUAUAUUUACCUGCUCAGCAAUAUUGUUGAUUGGUCGAUGUAGGUUCCCAAUUGUUCCCGAUACUAUUUCUUCAAAUGUUAUCAUUUUCUCAAAACUAUAAUUAACUUGAUUUUGUGGAUAAAAAUAUUUUUCUUUAAUCAUCUGUUUGUUAUUAUAAAAUGUCUG